GUCAGUGUGGUGUAAUGGUUUGAGUGUUAGAUUAGGACACUGGAGACUGAGGUUCAAAUCCUCGCUCAGCCA